CACUGCUGGAGCCCAGGCACAGAUAGGACAGGGAUAUAUUUUCUUCUUACCAAUUCAGCUGUUUCCACCUUCCCUUAGGAGACAGGAUCCCAUCUCCUCUCUCCCCAGGCAGACUGGGGAAAGCCUAGAGUCAUCCUCUGGUUUCAUGACAAAGGACCUGGCUAGGGCUGGGAAAUGACUGGGGAAGCCUCAACCUGAUGCCCAGACCUUGUCAGCACAUGACCCUGCAGACUGGGAAGCACUUCUCAUCCCCUGCAUCCAGGCCAGGGGAUCAGGUGCCAAAAUUAAAGCUUAAUGAGAUGUAGGCUGUGAACCCAGCCAAGGUGAAGAGGACACUGAUGACAGCCUGUGAGCAUCCCUGAGGGCCUGCAAAACACCUGCAGCAGAAGGAGUUCAUCACCUUUCUACCCAGUUCACUCUGCCAGCCCACUUUAUCAAGGAAUCAGAAUAAAAAAUAAGUUUCAAAGCCUUA